GUUCAGGAGUUACAGUUGGAGCGAGGUAGCUGAGACAGUUGGUGACCGGCUUGUGGUAAUUAAGGCCAAGGUUUCACUCGACACCUGGCAGAGACAGUGUGCUGUGGCAGUGCGCCACAGCAGGAUUGCGGGAGAGGUCCUCAACACCCAGGUUCACUGAAAACCAGCAAUGGAGGAAGCCUUCGCUUAAAGGAAGAGCACCUUCAUUAGGAAGCCUUUGCUCAAAGGCACAGCACCUUCAGCACAGUUGAGUGCACCGCCCUCUGCUGGAAACACACAGAGUUCACACCUACCGACCCUUCCGUCCUUACUGAAAAGUGUUCCUAAAUGGACUUUUCAGAUGGUCUGGGAGAGACAUGCUGCACUUCAAAUGCAUCUGGGAAACUAAUCUUACCCGGAGCACUGUGACCGGCAAAGGGGUUGCUUUAGGCCAGACCUCUUCAACAUUUUUCAGGCAGUCGACAUGCUUAGUCUACUUCACGGAUGUCAAUCUCCCUGAGAAUCAUUUGGCAGCCACAGGUUCUGUUAACUCCUCUGUAGCACAGCUGGUGGGCCAGAUACCCUCAUCAGCCGAAAGCCUGCAGAUGCCGUGUUUCUACCGCCGUGUACACCCUUUCGUGUUGGGUGAACUGGAAGACUUGGAUCCAAGGGAGCCUUCGGAAUAACUCCAUGGACAGACAACCCUCUCCACACACAGAGGUGCAAUCUCGCUUGGUGUGUGGCUCCUGCUGGGCAAACAAGAAAGACACAGCCUACUUGGAGGAUCUCAAGUUCCUCAUCUUCAUGUUAAUGGUGACCCGGGACAGUUGCCGAAAAGCUGGUCCCCCUCAGAUGCUCAGCUCUCAGUCCUCACCAAAGAAGCAUCUUUGCAUUUGCGGUCAGCAGUUAAUACACAAGAGUCACAAUUAGUCAAGUGGAAAGAACGGAAAAGAACAAGUGUCGGCGGAGUGCUCAGCUCUAGAUGGGACACCCGUGUCACACCCACGCCCGUCAAGGCUCAGGGAACAUUGCGGAAGAGGGGGCGGAAAGAUUGUAAGAGCCAGAGGUCAGGGAGAACUGGGGUGAAAAUGAUGAGAAUCACUGCACUCACAGAAGCUCUGGUUGCUUGCAAAGGCCUGAACAAGAUCAAGCCAGCCAACAUUUGAGCAUGGGUCAAGGAGGGGCCAGGAGCCCUCAGUCCUAGCUGAGGUGCUCCUGACAGCUGAUGACUGCUAGGGGAGAGCGUGGCCAAUGGUAGGAUUCACACCCUGGUGGAUGGCCUCACACCCCAUAUAUAAACAGUACUAAUUGAACAGGCACUUGGGAAGAGGACUUGAGUGGGGGACCCAGGAGGAACUGGAGGGGAAGGGGAGUAAAUAUGGCAGGAAACUAUGUACAUUAAAUUCCUUCUAAAUAAAUUGUUAUAAAAACAAAAA